rnacentral:rRNA from 1 species
AGAGUUUGAUCCUGGCUCAGAACGAACGCUGGCGGCAGGCUUAACACAUGCAAGUCGAGCGCCCCGCAAGGGGAGUGGCAGACGGGUGAGUAACGCGUGGGAAUCUACCCUUCUCUACGGGAUAGCUCCGGGAAACUGGAAUUAAUACCGUAUACGUCCUGAGGGAGAAAGAUUUAUCGGGGAAGGAUGAGCCCGCGUUGGAUUAGCUAGUUGGUGGGGUAAAGGCCUACCAAGGCGACGAUCCAUAGCUGGUCUGAGAGGAUGACCAGCCACAUUGGGACUGAGACACGGCCCAAACUCCUACGGGAGGCAGCAGUGGGGAAUAUUGGACAAUGGGCGCAAGCCUGAUCCAGCCAUGCCGCGUGAGUGAUGAAGGUCUUAGGAUUGUAAAGCUCUUUCAGUGGGGACGAUAAUGACGGUACCCACAGAAGAAGCCCCGGCUAACUUCGUGCCAGCAGCCGCGGUAAUACGAAGGGGGCUAGCGUUGUUCGGAAUUACUGGGCGUAAAGCGCACGUAGGCGGAUAUUUAAGUCGGGGGUGAAAUCCCGGGGCUCAACCCCGGAACUGCCUUCGAUACUGGGUAUCUUGAGUUCGGAAGAGGUGAGUGGAAUUGCGAGUGUAGAGGUGAAAUUCGUAGAUAUUCGCAGGAACACCAGUGGCGAAGGCGGCUCACUGGUCCGAUACUGACGCUGAGGUGCGAAAGCGUGGGGAGCAAACAGGAUUAGAUACCCUAGUAGUCC